UACGAAGGGGGCAAGCGUUGUUCGGAAUUACUGGGCGUAAAGGGCGCGUAGGCGGCCCGCUAAGUCGAACGUGAAAUCCCUGGGCUCAACCCAGGAACUGCGUCCGAUACUGGCGGGCUUGAAUCCGGGAGAGGGAUGUGGAAUUCCAGGUGUAGCGGUGAAAUGCGUAGAUAUCUGGAGGAACACCGGUGGCGAAGGCGGCAUCCUGGACCGGUAUUGACGCUGAUGCGCGAAAGCCAGGGGAGCAAACGGG
rnacentral:rRNA from 1 species